GACGAACGCUGGCGGCGUGCCUAAUACAUGCAAGUAGAACGCUGAAGGAGGAGCUUGCUUCUCCGGAUGAGUUGCGAACGGGUGAGUAACGCGUAGGUAACCUGCCUGGUAGCGGGGGAUAACUAUUGGAAACGAUAGCUAAUACCGCAUAAUAGCAGUUAUUGCAUGAUAACUGUUUGAAAGGUGCAAUUGCACCACUACCAGAUGGACCUGCGUUGUAUUAGCUAGUUGGUGGGGUAACGGCUCACCAAGGCGACGAUACAUAGCCGACCUGAGAGGGUGAUCGGCCACACUGGGACUGAGACACGGCCCAGACUCCUACGGGAGGCAGCAGUAGGGAAUCUUCGGCAAUGGACGGAAGUCUGACCGAGCAACGCCGCGUGAGUGAAGAAGGUUUUCGGAUCGUAAAGCUCUGUUGUAAGAGAAGAACGAGUGUGAGAGUGGAAAGUUCACACUGUGACGGUAUCUUACCAGAAAGGCGGCU
rnacentral:rRNA from 1 species